rnacentral:tRNA from 1 species
GAGUAGCUCAGUGGUAGAGGACAUGCCCCGCAAGCAGAAGGUUCUUGGUUCGAGGCCGCAAUGCUUCAACU